rnacentral:rRNA from 1 species
GGGUGAGUAACACGUGGAUAACCUACCUAUAAGACUGGGAUAACUUCGGGAAACCGGAGCUAAUACCGGAUAAUAUAUUGAACCGCAUGGUUCAAUAGUGAAAGACGGUUUUGCUGUCACUUAUAGAUGGAUCCGCGCCGCAUUAGCUAGUUGGUAAGGUAACGGCUUACCAAGGCAACGAUGCGUAGCCGACCUGAGAGGGUGAUCGGCCACACUGAAACUGAGACACGGUCCAG